UGCCAGCCGCCGCGGUAAUACGAAGGUCUCAAGCGUUGUUCGGAAUCACUGGGCGUAAAGCGUGUGUAGGCUGCGCGGAAAGUCAAAUGUGAAAGCCCGGGGCUCAACCUCGGAACUGCAUUCGAUACUCCCGUGCUAGAGUAAUGGAGAGGUAAGUGGAAUUCCUGGUGUAGCAGUGAAAUGCGUAGAUAUAGGAAGGAACACCAGUGGCGAAGGCGACACCCUGGACCAAUACUGACGCUGAGGUGCGAAAGCGUGGGUAGCAAACAGGAUUAGAUA
rnacentral:rRNA from 1 species